UUGGAGAGAUGAUGUCUUCAUAAGAUUUUCUCUUUUAAGAAAAAUCUGUUUUUUGGUUACAGUGGAAAUACUUUGUCUUUAUAAAAGAAGACAGACUGCAUAUAGUUUUUUUCAAAUUUUUAUAAAUAGAACUGCAUGUGAUUUCAGAAUGCUCAGAGAGUUUCCAAAAAUCCCUUUGUAUUCACAAGAGAUUAAUGACAGAUUUAGUAACCAUUCUUUUUAUUCCUAUUGCAGCUGAGGGUGUAGGUUCUAUCCCAUUCUGCUGGAACUACAUAGAAAGUGCAUGCACAAAUAAGUGAAGAUGAGUUUAAAAGACAAAAAACCCAAACAAUUAAUAAAACAGUUGUAAGGAGCUCCUCGCUUGGGGGACCUAAGAAUGAUAAGGAGAAAGUGUUAGAAAGCUUGCUUAAACAACAGAACACCCAACCAUGAAACAAAGCAGAAUGUCAUUAGCAGCAUGUAGGUGGAACCUGACGUCAAUAUUUCAGACUAUUAUAAGAAAUUAUAAUUAGGGUUUUACAGUCUGCAAAGUGCUUCAGCUCUCUGCUGUAGUGAGGGAAAGAUUUCUGAAGGUCGUCAAGUAAUACAGCUGUGCUCAAGCCAAGAGAUGGAGGCUCUAGGACAGAGACUACAGACUACAAG